GGGGGGGGGGGGGGGGGGGGGGGGGGGGGGGGGGGGGGGGGGGGGGAGGGGGGGGGGGGGGGGGGGCGGCGGGGGGGGGGGGGGGAAUGCGUGGGAAUGUGCGGGGUAGUGGGGGAUAACGUCCGGAAACGGGCGCGAAGACCGCAUACGGCCUGAGGGGGAAGGUGGGGGAUCUUCGGACCUCACGCGGUCAGAGGAGCCUAGGUCGGAUUAGCUAGUUGGUGGGGUAAAGGCCUACCAAGGCGACGAGCCGUAACUGGUCUGAGAGGAGGAUCAGUCACACUGGAACUGAGACACGGUCCAGACUCCUACGGGAGGCAGCAGUGGGGAAUAUUGGACAAUGGGCGAAAGCCUGAUCCAGCCAUGCCGCGUGUGUGAAGAAGGUCUUCGGAUUGUAAAGCACUUUAAGUUGGGAGGAAGGGCAGUAAGUUAAUACCUUGCUGUUUUGACGUUACCAACAGAAUAAGCACCGGCUAACUUCGUG
rnacentral:rRNA from 1 species